rnacentral:rRNA from 1 species
CAGGGAUUGCCCUAGUAACGGCGAGUGAAGCGGCAACAGCUCAAAUUUGAAAUCUGGCUCUUUCAGAGUCCGAGUUGUAAUUUGCAGAGGGCGCUUUGGCGUUGGCAGCGGUCCAAGUUCCUUGGAACAGGACGUCACAGAGGGUGAGAAUCCCGUACGUGGUCGCUGGCCUUCGCCGUGUAAAGCCCCUUCGACGAGUCGAGUUGUUUGGGAAUGCAGCUCUAAAUGGGAGGUAAAUUUCUUCUAAAGCUAAAUACUGGCCAGAGACCGAUAGCGCACAAGUAGAGUGAUCGAAAGAUGAAAAGCACUUUGGAAAGAGAGUCAAAUAGCACGUGAAAUUGUUGAAAGGGAAGCGCUUGCAGCCAGACUUGCCUGUAGUUGCUCAUCCGGGCUUUUGCCCGGUGCACUCUUCUAUAGGCAGGCCAGCAUCAGUUUGGGCGGUUGGAUAAAGGUCUCUGUCAUGUACCUCUCUUCGGGGAGGCCUUAUAGGGGAGACGACAUGCAACCAGCCUGGACUGAGGUCCGCGCAUUUGCUAGGAUGCUGGCGUAAUGGCUGUAAGCGGCCCGUCUUGAAACACGGACCAAGGAGUCUAACAUCUAUGCGAGUGUUUGGGUGUCAAGCCCGAACGCGUAAUGAAAGUGAACGGAGGUGGGAACCCUUACGGGCGCACCAUCGACCGAUCCUGAUGUCUUCGGAAGGAUUUGAGUAAGAGCAUGGCUGUUGGGACCCGAAAGAUGGUGAACUAUGCUUGAAUAGGGUGAAGCCAGAGGAAACUCUGGUGGAGGCUCGCAGCGGUUCUGACGUGCAAAUCGAUCGUCAAAUUUGGGCAUAGGGGCGAAAGACUAAUCGAACUAUCUAG